ensembl:lncRNA
AGGUGGGGGCAUUGCCCCAGGUGGGAGCUGACCCACCGUUGGGGGCACCCCCUGAGGUGGGAGCGGACCCACAGUUUGGGGCAUUGCCCCAGCUGGCAGCUGAAGCACAGUUGGGGGCAUUGCCCCAGGUGGUGGGAGCUGAGCCACCAUGGAGGGCAGCCCCUGUGGUGGGAUCAGACCCACCAUUGGGGCUACCCCCUGAGGUGGGAGCAGGCCUACAGUUUGGGGUACCCCCUGAGGUAGCAGCUGACCCACAGUUUGGGGCAUUGCCCCAGGUGGUGGGAGCUGAGCCACCAUGGAGUGCAGCCCCUGUGGUGGGAUCAGAUCCACCACUGGGACUACCCCCAGAGGUGGGAGCUGACCCCCAGUAUAGGGCAUUGCCCCAAGGGGCAGCUCAGUCAUAGUUUGGGGCAUUGCCCCAGCUGGCAGCUGAGCCACAACUGGGGGUGUUGCCCCAGCUGGCAGUUGAAGCACAGUUUGAGGUAUCGCCCCAGGUGGCAGCUGCGCUCCCUGUCCCUGCACACCCGGUACCCCCGGCUGGACAGAGGCCUGAGGCACCAUGGAGGUGACAUUGGGGGCAGGGAUGGGCUGGAAGGAUAC